GGUUAUGGCUCAGCGGUAGAGCGCUCGCCUCCCAUGAGUAAAACCCUGGGUUCAAUCCUCAGCACCA
rnacentral:tRNA from 1 species